GUACUUGCUUCAGCAGCACAAAUACUAAAAUUAGAACAAAACAGAAAAGAUUAGCAUGGCCCUUGUACAAGGAUGACAUCCAAUUUGUGAAGCAUUUCAUAUUUUU
ensembl:snRNA U6 U6 spliceosomal RNA